UGGGGAAUUUUGGACAAUGGGCGCAAGCCUGAUCCAGCCAUGCCGCGUGCGGGAAGAAGGCCUUCGGGUUGUAAACCGCUUUUGUCAGGGAAGAAAUCUUCUGAGUUAAUACCUCGGGAGGAUGACGGUACCUGAAGAAUAAGCACCGGCUAACUACGUGCCAGCAGCCGCGGUAAUACGUAGGGUGCAAGCGUUAAUCGGAAUACUGGGCGUAAAGCGUGCGCAGGCGGUUUUGUAAGACAGAGGUGAAAUCCCCGGGCUCAACCUGGGAACUGCCUUUGUGACUGCAAGGCUUGAGUGCGGCAGAGGGGGGAUGGAAUUCCGCGUGUAGCAGUGAAAUGCGUAGAUAUGCGGAGGAACACCGAUGGCGAAGGCAAUCCCCUGGGCCUGCACUGACGCUCAUGCACGAAAGCGUGGGGAGCAAACAGGGAUUAGAUAGCCCUGGUAGUCCACGCCCUAAAACCGAUGUCAAC
rnacentral:rRNA from 1 species